GACAGAGGGUGCAAACGUUGUUCGGAAUUACUGGGCGUAAAGCGCGUGUAGGCUGCUUCGCAAGUCGGAUGUGAAAGCCCUGGGCUCAACCCAGGAAGUGCAUUCGAGACUGAAUAGCUAGGGUACGGUAGAGGGAAGCGGAAUUUCCGGUGUAGCGGUGAAAUGCGUAGAUAUCGGAAGGAACAUCAGUGGCGAAAGCGGCUUCCUGGACCAGUACCGACGUCAGGCACGAAAGCGUGGGGAGCAAACAGG
rnacentral:rRNA from 1 species